rnacentral:rRNA from 1 species
CCUGUUUAUCAAAAACAUGUCUGUUUGUAUUAUCAUAGAUAGUCUGUCCUGCCCACUGAUUAUUUAAAGGGCUGCGGUAAUUUGACCGUGCGAAGGUAGCAUAGUCAUUAGUCUUUUAAUUGAAGGCUUGCAUGAAUGGAUGGAUGAAAAAUAAGCUGUCUUUUUUGUUUAACGAAUUUAACUUUUAAGUGAAAAGGCUUAAAUGUUUUAGUGGGACGAUAAGACCCUAUAAAACUUAAUAUAAUUUUUUUAGUUACGAGAAUAGAGUUUAAUCGUGGCUUUAGGGGGUUAUAUUUCGUUGGGGAGAUGUUUGUAUAAUUUGUAACUGCUUUGUAAAUAGAAUAAUAAUAAUUAGAUUAUGAUCCUUUAAUAAAGAUUACAAGAUUAAGUUACUUUAGGGAUAACAGCGUGAUUGUCUUUGAGAGCCCUUAUCGACAAGAAUUAGUUGCGACCUCGAUGUUGAAUUAAAAUUUCAGGUGGGUGUAGCUGCUGUCCUGSUGGGUCYGUUCGWCCWUUAAAAUUUUAACGKAUUKSCC